CCUACGGGGUGCAGCAGUGAGGAAUAUUGGUCAAUGGACGAGAGUCUGAACCAGCCAAGUAGCGUGAAGGAUGACUGCCCUAUGGGUUGUAAACUUCUUUUAUAUGGGAAUAAAAUGUUCCACGUGUGGGAUUUUGUAUGUACCAUAUGAAUAAGGAUCGGCUAACUCCGUGCCAGCAGCCGCGGUAAUACGGAGGAUCCGAGCGUUAUCCGGAUUUAUUGGGUUUAAAGGGAGCGUAGGUGGAUUGUUAAGUCAGUUGUGAAAGUUUGCGGCUCAACCGUAAAAUUGCAGUUGAAACUGGCAGUCUUGAGUACAGUAGAGGUGGGCGGAAUUCGUGGUGUAGCGGUGAAAUGCGUAGAUAUUAGGAGGAACACCAGUUGCGAAGGCGGCUCUCUGGACUGUAACUGACACUGAGGCACGAAAGCGUGGGGAGCAAACAGGAUUAGAUACCCCGGUAGUC
rnacentral:rRNA from 1 species